rnacentral:rRNA from 1 species
AGUAACACGUAAACAACCUGCCUUCAGGAUGGGGACAACAGACGGAAACGACUGCUAAUACCGAAUAAGUUCCAAGAGCCGCAUGGCCCAUGGAAGAAAAGGUAGGCCUCUACCUGUAAGCUAUCGCCUGAAGAGGGGUUUGCGUCUGAUUAGCUGGUUGGAGGGGUAACGGCCCACCAAGGCGACGAUCAGUAGCCGGUCUGAGAGGAUGAACGGCCACACUGGAACUGAGACACGGUCCAGACUCCUACGGGAGGCAGCAUG